GGUGUUCAUAAAACACCUUUCCUUCCCCUUCUUGCUAUCAAAGCAUCCAGUGGCUACCACUGGCCACUGAGGGUGGUACUCCAAAGGCUACGGGACUAUCAUCUGUUCGUGAAGGGUGAAAUGCAAAUUUCAUCGCACGCAGGUACAGCUUUUGGGGUACGUCUUCCACCCUGGAGCAAUGGCCAUGGACGAACAGAAGGUUUGUGAGAAAUUUCAGCCAGGUAGCUGCACCUCUCACCUUCCCUUACCCGUGGAAAAGGUACCAGGUUGCAGUGGACCCCGAAGGCAGAACGCGCCUUUCAGAAGUUGAAGGAUGCCUUUUGUUCUGCACCCAUCCUGCAGCAACCCCGUACCGAAGAACCAUUCGAGGUAGAGGUGGAUGCUUCUGAGGCCGGAGUAGGGGGUGUUCUCCUCCAGAAAAACCCAGUAACCGGCCGUCGUCACCCCUGCGCAUACUUCUCGAAAAAACUCACCUCCGCAGAGCGCAAUUAUGAUGUCGGGGAUAGAGAGCUCCUCGCAAUCAAGCUAGCAUUGGAGGAGUGGAGACAUUGGUUGGAGGGGGCCCGUCUCCCUUUCCAGGUCCUUACCAAUCACCGAAACCUCCAAUAUCUACAAAACACAAAAAGGCUAAACCCUUGUCAGGCACGCUAGACAAUGUUCUUUGCACAGUUUAACUUUGUGGUAACCUACCGUCCAGGAUUGAAGAACAUCAAGGCGGAUGCUCUCUCCCGGCAGUAUGACCCUCCAACAGUGACGAAUCAGACAACACCCAUCCUACCUCAAUCCUGCUUCGCCGCCACCAUCUCCUGGUCCCUGGAGGAGAACCUCCAAGUUAUUAAUGAGCGCACGUCAUCCCCUGCCAGUUGCCCACCUGGGAGAUUGUAUGUGCCUCCUUCCCACCGAUCAGCAAUUCUCAGGUGGGUCCAUACCUCUUGGAGCUCCGGGCACCCAGGAGUCUCCAUGACGCUCCGGCUGAUAGCACGACGGUAUUGGUGGCCAGGAUGGAGGAAGCGGUAGAACAAUACGUGGCCUCCUGGCCCGAGUGUGCUCAACUUAAAGCGUCCCACUUUUUUUCAUUUCUAUCAGCUAGACAUAGGUGUUUUUAUAGCCACUGACCCUGAGUAAGAGGGAGAACCGAAUGGUAAAUGUGAUGUGUAUCAGGGCUGCUAGCUCUCACGCAUCUGGCGUGACACUCUCACACUCACGAAAGAAAUCUUCCAGCAAAUUUAUAUUAUUCCUGUGCAAGCUGCAUAUUUUGUAAAUAUUACACAUUAAUAGGGAUGUGACUGUACACAUAUUGUUCGUAUACCAUUACUAUUUUACAUGUAUUUUUUGUAUUUUCAAAUUACUUCUAUUUUAAAUACAUUUUCUCACACCAGUAUUUUUUCGAAACAAACAUUUAACUGCAUCUCCAGUUCUCCAUGAUUUCUGGGAAAACACUUGAUUAUAAUUGUUACUCUCAAUUCAUAAAUUACGUUGGAAUUUUCCUGGUGUGUCUUCUUCAAAAAUGUCCAACUCAUCAUACAGGGCAAUAUAUGGUAUAAAAUUAUAUAAAUGGCAAAAGCUACCCAGAAAGGAAAACUCAUUCUUAACUAAUGAGAAACAAAAUUGUUAUGGAUAUUGAAAUAGAGUCUGAGUUCAGUCAUGUGACUAGGGACAUGAACCACCCAGCACCAUUAGAUACUCAGUAGGUGGGCGCUUCUGCUGCUAGGCAACCAUUCCUCACUGUAUUCUCCAUUCAAAUGACAGGAUUUCCCGCAAAGCAAUUAAGAGGAGAUAGGACAGUUUGCUGUGCUGCAGAGGAAUGCCCUUCCUUAUUGUUAUCAUUUAUUUGCUUAGCAGGUGCUGCUAUCCAAGGUUAAUAAAAUCACGUUACAUUCUUCCCACCUUGACCCAUUUUUAAAUCCACCUGUCCAUCCAUCGUCCAACCAUUUAUUCAGUAUUGGCUCAUAGGGGGAGAGGGAGGGGCUGCAGCACAUUUAUAAAUCUGGAAAUUAUAGAAAUUGUUCAACUGAAGCAGUUUGUUCAAGGAUGUAAGAGCAGCUGUUUUCUGUACUGGGUGUUUUACCUGCAGACAGAUUGGUUUAUAGCUUUCAUGUAGCUUUGGAGCAAUGACAGUCCUGGCUCUGAAAUUGCUGGGGUGUCCUUGGUCCUUAAAGGGACUAGUUUGGGUGGGACUAUCUUGUCGAGGAGGUUUCCUCCCAAGGAUUUAUGGGCAGGCAAAAAUUCAGCAAAAUUUGCACUGAUCCGGAUAAUAGCUCUCAACACCUUUAAUUUGGUGUCACUUCUGAACUCGAAGGGAAUGUCCCUUCCUGCUGACACACAGUAGAGUGCAGGGAUGGGAACAAUGUGUGUACCUCCUGGUCCACUGCUGCUUUAUCUGCAGUAACGGCAUCCGCUGCCUGCUCACAUGGAUCAGGUUUCUAUAAACUGCUGCUUCCUUCAACAGAAGUGCCUUGCUGAACUGCCAGUGGAGAACGGUUAUAGGGGUCCACAAGAUCUUGAGCUCAUGAAGAGUCAUGGUGUAAAUCUGGUUUGUUAAUAAUGACAAGACUACUGAUGAUGAGAUUGUCUGUAACCUCUAAGUAGCAAUUAGACCUAUACUUUACCAGUGGAAUAUAUACAUGUAAAAUAAUUAGUUAUGUAAGUAGGUGCAAUCCAUCAAACCAAUGUGUAAAAUCAUCAAAUAAUUCCCCUUAUGAGGGACAUGUUAUGUGCUAUACUUACUAUAUACAAUGAUGGGUUAUGUAUAAUAAUGAGCUUUAUACUUUAAAUAUGUGAAAUGAUGAGCUAUGUAAAUGAUUUGUCUAUUUGUUUAGCAGUUAAUGAAUGAAUUUCAUGUCUUAAGAGUAGAAAUGAGUCAUCGAGUGGCUGUUUUCUCAUCCUACUGUAAUGUUGACGUUCUGUGGGCCCUGGCCGAGGUCAGGCUCAGAAUGACAGGCCAUCUCACAUGCUGAUGUUCCCUUUGAAAAAACGAGCUUAGGUAAAAGUCACUUGCCUUGGGAGCACGUGUUGGAGUGGGAGAUGAUGACCGUGACAAUCCAUCAGGGUAUAUGGGAUUAAGUUGAAUUUUCAGCCAGAUGUCACAGCACCUCUGACACUGGGCUGGAACGGGACUGAAAGCUGGGCAGCCAAGGCGGAAUUUCGCUUCAAUAAUAGUGACCUUCAGUUUACAAACCAUUUAGAAAAGCACCCUGAACUACACAUUCAUUUCUGAUAUGAGAAUCACAGCUAAAAUAUGCAACUAAUAACUCAUUCAAGCUGCCAAGCAUCAAUCUUCAAAGAAAACUGCACUGAUUGCUCUGAUUCUAAUUUGCUGUUCAGGACUUCACAGAGGCACUGCACUCUAUUUAUCUGAAACUCUUUGGUACAUUAUCAUAACUGUAAACCUGUAAUCUAGUCUCUUGUGAACUCAGUGUAUCAGCAUUGCACAUGCUCAGCUGCCGAUACUGUACAUAUGAAAUACCCUUUUAAAUGGCCCAAUAGAUCAAUAUUUUCUCUUGCUUGGUGAAGCAUGAAAUAGCAAAGUGUUUCCCACAUACUGCCUGUCAAUGACACAUCCGCGUGUUCAUUUUUUAAGUUCUCUAAAUCAUUGCCAGCCUUGUGGUCCAUGGCGUCCAUGAUGUUUAGGAGUCUCUGCCUCUCUUUACAGUACAUGUUUUACAGCCUGAUCAAUGAGGCCAUGGUAAGGAUUAAUGCUUAUAUUUUUGUGGAGCCCUUUUUUAUAGUGGAUUGACAUUUGAAACGUAUGUUUGCCUUCUAUGCAGUCACUGAGGCACUUAUAACAGGGGAUGUGUUUGUCGUUCCUUGAUGUAAAAGCUCUUUGUACUUUGUGGAUGGAUCAAUCACUUGAUUUGUUUCUUUCUGUGACAGUA